AGAGUUUGAUCCUGGCUCAGGACGAACGCUGGCGGCGUGCCUAAUACAUGCAAGUAGAACGCUGAAGAGAGGAGCUUGCUCUUCUUGGAUGAGUUGCGAACGGGUGAGUAACGCGUAGGUAACCUGCCUUGUAGCGGGGGAUAACUAUUGGAAACGAUAGCUAAUACCGCAUAACAAUGGAUGACUCAUGUCAUUUAUUUGAAAGGGGCAAAUGCUCCACUACAAGAUGGACCUGCGUUGUAUUAGCUAGUAGGUGAGGUAACGGCUCACCUAGGCGACGAUACAUAGCCGACCUGAGAGGGUGAUCGGCCACACUGGGACUGAGACACGGCCCAGACUCCUACGGGAGGCAGCAGUAGGGAAUCUUCGGCAAUGGGGGCAACCCUGACCGAGCAACGCCGCGUGAGUGAAGAAGGUUUUCGGAUCGUAAAGCUCUGUUGUAGUCAAGAACGAGUGUGAGAGUGGAAAGUUCACACUGUGACGGUAGCUUACCAGAAAGGGACGGCUAACUACGUGCCAGCAGCCGCGGUAAUACGUAGGUCCCGAGCGUUGUCCGGAUUUAUUGGGCGUAAAGCGAGCGCAGGCGGUUUGAUAAGUCUGAAGUUAAAGGCUGUGGCUCAACCAUAGCUCGCUUUGGAAACUGUCAAACUUGAGUGCAGAAGGGGAGAGUGGAAUUCCAUGUGUAGCGGUGAAAUGCGUAGAUAUAUGGAGGAACACCGGUGGCGAAAGCGGCUCUCUGGUCUGUAACUGACGCUGAGGCUCGAAAGCGUGGGGAGCGAACAGGAUUAGAUACCCUGGUAGUCCACGCCGUAAACGAUGAGUGCUAGGUGUUGGAUCCUUUCCGGGACUCAGUGCCGCAGUUAACACAAUAAGUAAUCCACCUGGGGAGUACGACCGCAAGGUUGAAACUCAAAGGAAUUGACGGGGGCCCGCACAAGCAGUGGAGUAUGUGGUUUAAUUCGACGCAACGCGAAGAACCUUACCAAGUCUUGACAUCCCUUGACGAACAUAGAAAUAUGUUUUCUCUUCGGAGCAAGGAGACAGGUGGUGCAUGGUUGUCGUCAGCUCGUGUCGUGAGAUGUUGGGUUAAGUCCCGCAACGAGCACAACCCUUACUGUCAGUUACUACGCAAGAGGACUCUGGCAGGACUGCCGUUGACAAAACGGAGGAAGGUGGGGAUGACGUCAAAUCAUCAUGCCCUUUAUGACUUGGGCUACACACGUACUACAAUGGCGUUAAACAAAGAGAAGCAAGACCGCGAGGUGGAGCAAAACUCAGAAACAACGUCCCAGUUCGGACUGCAGGCUGCAACUCGCCUGCACGAAGUCGGAAUUGCUAGUAAUCGUGGAUCAGCAUGCCACGGUGAAUACGUUCCCGGGCCUUGUACACACCGCCCGUCACGCCAUGAGAGCCGGGGGGACCCGAAGUCGGUAGUCUAACCGCAAGGAGGACGCCGCCGAAGGUAAAACUGGUGAUUGGGGUGAAGUCGUAACAAGGUA
rnacentral:rRNA from 1 species